AUGAUGAAGAAGGAGGGAAUAAUGAAAAACAGAGAUUGUUUGGACUGGGCUUAUCGGCGCUGCUGUUGAUCAUCAUCAUCAUCACAUGGAAAGUGUGGGACAAACACAAGAAAAAAAGGGCCAGGAAGCAUUAUCCAGGAAGUACAGAAUUAAAAUUGAACCCAGACCAUGAAUACGCCGUCAUAGACAGAACUGGCAUCAUCAAGGGAGACCCGGCAGAGCAGUAGGGGGCAGUAACACAGAGCUGCUCUUCAGCAUGACAGCUGUGAGGGACACACAGAUACUGCAGUGAUGGGGAGGGAUAAUCACCAAAGAGGAGCAUCUUACAGUGAUGUCAGCUGUAUUUAAACGGCAUGCAGCACUGUCACGUUACAGUGUGACAGUAAGAGUCAGCUGGUGUGAAACACAUUCAUAGCUGUUGUGCAUUUGAACAAUGAUCAAGGUGCUAUUUGCCUCACUUGUACUUUGCUUUGGACAAAAUAGAAUAAAUGUAUUUUCUUGGCGUUCUGUGAAUUACUUUUCAUUAAUACAAAUGGAAAAAAAUAUCAAUGGCUAUCCUAUUUGAUUAGUAUAAAAUAAAAUGUCUGUUACCACAAUAUUCAGUAUUUUGAGAAAGUAUUUGCCAGUGUCUGUUUUUCUCUUGUGUAUAUACAGUAUGUACCAGUGGGGUUUACUGAGGUCUAAGGGCUCUGGCUUUAAUUUUACUCUCUUCUUACUCUCUUCACUGCCCCCUGCUGGAGCAGCUUCACUGUUUCACUGCUUCCCUUCUCUCCUCUGACUGUGGAAUUAAAAGCUGCCCUGUUGCUGUUAUAUUAUGUAUCAAUAUGUAUCUGACUUGCACAGCAUUUGUUUCAUACAUAACAUUAAUAAAAAUGCCUUUCAUCAA